AUUGAACGCUGGCGGCAGGCCUAACACAUGCAAGUCGAGCGGAUGAAGGGAGCUUGCUCCUGGAUUCAGCGGCGGACGGGUGAGUAAUGCCUAGGAAUCUGCCUGGUAGUGGGGGAUAACGUCCGGAAACGGGCGCUAAUACCGCAUACGUCCUGAGGGAGAAAGUGGGGGAUCUUCGGACCUCACGCUAUUAGAAUAGCCCAGGUGGGAUUAGCUAGUUGGUGGGGUAAAGGCCUACCAAGGCGACGAUCCGUAACUGGUCUGAGAGGAUGAUCAGUCACACUGGAACUGAGACACGGUCCAGACUCCUACGGGAGGCAGCAUUGGGGAAUAUUGGACAAGGGGCGAAAGCCUGAUCCAGCCAUGCCGCGUGUGUGAAGAAGGUCUUCGGAUUGUAAAGCACUUUAAGUUGGGAGGAAGGGCAGUAAGUUAAUACCUUGCUGUUUUGACGUUACCAACAGAAUAAGCACCGGCUAACUUCGUG
rnacentral:rRNA from 1 species